UCUGUUUUAACAGAUAUUUUAAAACAGCUCCCUGUUUUAAAAGAUCAUUCUAAUCUGUUGAGUUGACCUCAAUGAGGGGUUGCAACUAUUAUUAAAUGCUUAAUAUUUCUCUGGAAGGAAGUGGACACUCUUUGUGGUUUCAGUGACUCUGCAUCAAGCUGAAACUUUAGUUUGAUCGACACCGUGAAGGACAACAGACACCAUGGAGACAGUCAUUUUCUUCUGUGUAUUUUCUUGUUGGAUUAUGCAAAUCACAUCCAGUGAUUUGUCAGCAGGAGGAUCUUCUGUUCUGAGAGUUCGGAUGGGAGAAAACAUCACUCUGAACUGCAGCAUGAGGAACAGAUAUGAAGUCGCCUGGUAUCUUCUCAGAUCUGAAGAACUCGUUCUGUUGAGUUCAGCAGAGAAGGACAAAAACGAGAGAAAACUCCUGAUCAACUACAAUCUAAACAGCAAUCGUGUGAAAAUAACAGCAGACAGUUGGGUCACCAGAGUCUCUUUAACUAUUACUGGAGUAACAGAAUCAGAUUCAGGACUUUAUUUCUGUGGAGUAAAGUCUGACGCUCCAGAGAUGCACUUCGACAAACCCAUCAGACUGGACAUUGAAGGUAUAUUUGUAACAGAAGAGCCUAAAGAAGAAGAUGGCGUCCCAGACGAGGUGACGGUGACGGAGCCUGUGUUGAUGUUCGUUGGUGUUGGCCUGGCUGUGUUUGUGUUUUUUCUGGCUACAGUAGUCGCAGGAAGAGUCAUUUACCAUCGUGGACAGCAGAAAGGAUGGAAAGCAGCGAAACAAGAAGCUAUGAAUCAAAAAGCAGCUUAAUGACACAUUUCUGCUUUGUUUUACAAUCUGAGGUUUGCUUUGCCAGUAAAUUAAGCAUUGCUGUCGGGAAACAAAUUAUAAUCGAUAACUGUGUCUCUGACAUCAUCAUGUCACUGAAACUUAAACAGUCUUUAAUGGUAGUGGCGAUCAUUGAGGUUUGUGCGUUUCAGUCAAAACUACUGCCACCGUCUUUAAUGCAAUGUUUAUUAAUUCAAUAUCAAUGAACAACAUGCAUGCUCGUGUUAGAGUAACUGCAGUUUUUACAUGUGUACAGUGAAUGAGCCAAUGUCCCUAUUCAAAAAGAACAGCAAACAGUUUCUUCUUAAUGCAACAAAAGCUUUAAAUAUCAUUAGAAAAGCAGGAUUCGUGAUAUAAAUGGACAUUGUGUCUGGCAUUACAUUUACACAAAUAUUUUUCCUGAGGAGCAUCGUAUAAGCUGUUUUCAAGAGAAAAUAUAAAUGUAAAUCUCUUCUGUGGUUCUGAUCAAAUAAACAGCAGUAAAAUUAAGAAAUGAUGUGAUUAUAUGUGCAUUUUCUGGCAGAAACCCUCAUCAUUACCAAUGCUAAACCUAUUCAUAAUAACUGUAAAUUUAG